rnacentral:rRNA from 1 species
UACGUAGGGUGCAAGCGUUAAUCGGAAUUACUGGGCGUAAAGCGUGCGCAGGCGGUUGUGUAAGACAGAUGUGAAAUCCCCGGGCUCAACCUGGGAACUGCAUUUGUGACUGCACGGCUCGAGUGCGGCAGAGGGGGAUGGAAUUCCGCGUGUAGCAGUGAAAUGCGUAGAUAUGUGGAGGAACACCGAUGGCGAAGGCAAUCCCCUGGGCCUGCACUGACGCUCAUGCACGAAAGCGUGGGGAGCAAACAGG